rnacentral:rRNA from 1 species
UACAGAGGUGGCAAGCGUUGUUCGGAAUUACUGGGCGUAAAGGGCGCGUAGGCGGUCUUCUAAGUCUUGUGUGAAAUCCCUCGGCUCAACUGAGGAACUGCACGGGAUACUGGAUGACUUGAGUUCGGGAGAGGGAAGCGGAAUUCCGGGUGUAGCGGUGAAAUGCGUAGAUAUCCGGAGGAACACCGGUGGCGAAGGCGGCUUCCUGGACCGAUUACUGACGCUGAGGCGCGAAAUGCCAGGGGAGAC